rnacentral:misc_RNA from 1 species
GUUGUCAUUGGAUCAUGUAAGGCUAUUGAAAGUUAAUUACUUUCUUCACCAUCUAUUUAUGUUUUCAUUGGCUUGUUAUAAUUUUCUUUCAAAUUCUUAAUCCUUCUGGCGACGUCGCUGAAGCUUAAAUUAUUAGAGGUAAGAAAGGUUUUAUUAUAUUAAGACUUAACACUUAGAUGAGUGUGAUUUGUCAAAUGGUACGACUAUGGCUAGAUUCAACAUAAUUCCUGUAGUUUGUCUGCUUUGACAAGUGGGUUCCAUAUUGGGUUUUCUACCAUGCAAUGUCUCACAUAGCUGAAAGAUUUGAAUUUGGAACUAAAGAUUGCCAUUGGAAAGUGUAGAGAAAAAUUCUGCAUUCUAGUACCAAAUGGUCAUAUCUACAAUUUAUCAAAUAAAAAAAUGAGCAAGAGAAAACAAAUAUAAAUUUGUCCAAUGAGGAUUUCUUGGCAGUUGCUUCUGGUUUGCGAAAGUUUGAAAACUAGGGUGUCAUUCCAAUAUGUUCAUAAGAAUUUCGAGAUGCUCCAUUUGGAUCAAGAUUUGCUAAUAAUAAAAGCUAUUGCAAGAUUACAUAUCUCUGUCCUUAUUAACAUGGUUGUUUCCAUUGUUAAUGAUAUCAUUUUCAUUUGAUGUUU